AUCCGGUUGACGAGUCCCAAAUAGGACGAAACGCGCGUCACAUUGGAU
rfam:Schistosoma haematobium scaffold428_4, whole genome shotgun sequence.